rnacentral:tRNA from 1 species
UCAUCCGUGGUUCAGUAAUAGACUGCUCGCCUGCCACGCGGGCGGGUCCGGGUUCGUUUCCCGGCCGAUGCA